rnacentral:rRNA from 1 species
AACAGGAUUAGAUACCCUGGUAGUCCACGCCCUAAACGAUGUCGACUAGGUGUUCGGUGAGGAGACUCAUUGAGUACCGCAGCUAACGCGUGAAGUCGACCGCCUGGGGAGUACGGUCGCAAGAUUAAAACUCAAAGGAAUUGACGGGGACCCGCACAAGCGGUGGAUGAUGUGGAUUAAUUCGAUGCAACGCGAAAAACCUUACCUACCCUUGACAUGUACGGAACCCUGCUGAGAGGUGGGGGUGCUCGAAAGAGAGCCGUAACACAGGUGCUGCAUGGCUGUCGUCAGCUCGUGUCGUGAGAUGUUGGGUUAAGUCCCGCAACGAGCGCAACCCUUGUCAUUAGUUGCUACGCAAGAGCACUCUAAUGAGACUGCCGGUGACAAACCGGAGGAAGGUGGGGAUGACGUCAAGUCCUCAUGGCCCUUAUGGGUAGGGCUUCACACGUCAUACAAUGGUCGGUACAGAGGGUUGCCAAGCCGCGAGGUGGAGCUAAUCCCAGAAAGCCGAUCGUAGUCCGGAUCGCAGUCUGCAACUCGACUGCGUGAAGUCGGAAUCGCUAGUAAUCGCGGAUCAGCAUGCCGCGGUGAAUACGCUCCCGGGUCUUGUACACACCGCCCGUCACACCAUAGGAGUGGGUUUCACCAGAAGAGGCUAGCCUAACCGCAAGGGGGGCGGUCGCCACGGUGAGAUUCAUGACUGGGGGUGAAGUCGUAACAAGGUAACC